rnacentral:ncRNA from 1 species
AAACUGUCUUUCAGCGAACCAACUGUAGUGGGAACGGUCACUAGAUAUCCAGCGGGGAAAGAAGACCCUGUAGAGCUUCACUUUGGUCUAGUCUUGUAUAGUUCCUGCGGGGGUGUAGACUAGGUGGGAGAGCAAUCGAUUCUGAAAAACCACUACCCUGUUUGGAAUUAUGCUUACCUAUCACAAGGAAUAGGACUAGAUAGAAAGUUUGGCUGGGGCGGCACACCUUCGAAAGAGCAGCGAAGGUGUCCUAAGUUGAGCUCAGUGAGGACAGAAAUCUCACGUUGAGGAUAAGGCCAAAAGCUCAAUUUACUGUGCCUUUUUGUACUAGGAUCAGUUACGAAAGUAAGGCCUAACGAUCCCUAAAUAGCCUCAGGUGCGUGAGGAUUGGGGUGACAGACAAGUUACCUCCGGGACAACUGGCUUGUGGCUGCUAAGAGAUCAAAUCAACGCAGCUUUUUGAUUCUUCGAUGUCGGCUCUUCCUAUCCUAGUGAUGUACAAGUUGCUAAGGGUCGGAUUGUUCACCCGUAUUAGGGAUCGUGAGCUGGGUUUAGACCGUCGUGAGCCAGGUUUGUUUUAUCCUACUGGAUAUAGCAUCAUGAUAGUAGAUUGAUUUAGUACGAGAGGAACUGUUGAUUAUGGCCUCUGGUUAGCGAUUAUCGGAAACGGUAUGUCGCGCAGCUACGCCGUCUGGGAUAAUGGCUGAAAGCCUCUUAAGCCAGAAGCCCAUCUAGAAAGUGAUGCACGUGAUGUUGGACCGAUACGAAUAAUCAUACUCAAAAGGUCCGCUUCAUAGGUAACCCAAUGUAGAAGACAUUGUGUGAACGAAGGUACUGUAAGCA